GAUGAACGCUGGCGGCGUGCCUAAUACAUGCAAGUCGAGCGAACGGACGAGAAGCUUGCUUUUCUGAUGUUAGCGGCGGACGGGUGAGUAACACGUGGAUAACCUACCUAUAAGACUGGGAUAACUUCGGGAAACCGGAGCUAAUACCGGAUAAUAUUUUGAACCGCAUGGUUCAAAAGUGAAAGACGGUCUUGCUGUCACUUAUAGAUGGAUCCGCGCUGCAUUAGCUAGUUGGUAAGGUAACGGCUUACCAAGGCAACGAUGCAUAGCCGACCUGAGAGGGUGAUCGGCCACACUGGAACUGAGACACGGUCCAGACUCCUACGGGAGGCAGCAGUAGGGAAUCUUCCGCAAUGGGCGAAAGCCUGACGGAGCAACGCCGCGUGAGUGAUGAAGGUCUUCGGAUCGUAAAACUCUGUUAUUAGGGAAGAACAUAUGUGUAAGUAACUGUGCCCAUCUUGACGGUACCUAAUCAGAAAGCCACGGCUAACUACGUG
rnacentral:rRNA from 1 species